AGAACGAACGCUGGCGGCAGGCUUAACACAUGCAAGUCGAGCGCCCAGCAAUGGGAGCGGCGGACGGGUGCGUAACACGUGGGAACAUGCCUUUCGGUACGGAACAACUGCGGGAAACUGCAGCUAAUGCCGUAUACGCCCUUACGGGGAAAGAUUUAUCGCCGAAAGAUUGGCCCGCGCCUGAUUAGCUAGUUGGUGAGGUAAUGGCUCACCAAGGCUUCGAUCAGUAGCUGGUUUGAGAGAACGACCAGCCACACUGGGACUGAGACACGGCCCAGACUCCUACGGGAGGCAGCAGUGGGGAAUCUUGGACAAUGGAGGAAACUCUGAUCCAGCCAUGCCGCGUGAGUGAUGAAGGCCUUCGGGUUGUAAAACGUCUUUUACCCGGGAAGAUAAUGACUGUACCGGAGAAUAAGCUCCGGCUAACUUCGUGCCAGCAGCCGC
rnacentral:rRNA from 1 species